AAGAGUGUAAAAACUCCCAAACCCAUGUGAACCUACCACUGUUGCCUCGGUGGGCUACCCGGUAGCUACCCUGUAGUUUGCCCUGUGGCCUGCCGACGGACAUCAAAACUCUAUUCAUUUUGAAUCUCUGAGUACAACUUUUAAAUAAGUAA
rnacentral:misc_RNA from 1 species